UAGGGAAUCUUCCGCAAUGGACGCAAGUCUGACGGAGCAACGCCGCGUGAGUGAAGAAGGAUUUCGGUUCGUAAAACUCUGUUGUUAGAGAAGAACAGCGCAUAGAGUAACUGUUAUGCGUGUGACGGUAUCUAACCAGAAAGCCACGGCUAACUACGUGCCAGCAGCCGCGGUAAUACGUAGGUGGCAAGCGUUGUCCGGAUUUAUUGGGCGUAAAGCGAGCGCAGGCGGUCAAUUAAGUCUGAUGUGAAAGCCCCCGGCUCAACCGGGGAGGGUCAUUGGAAACUGGUUGACUUGAGUGCAGAAGAGGAGAGUGGAAUUCCAUGUGUAGCGGUGAAAUGCGUAGAUAUAUGGAGGAACACCAGUGGCGAAGGCGACUCUAUGGUCUGUAACUGACGCUGAGGCUCGAAAGCGUGGGUAGCAAACAGG
rnacentral:rRNA from 1 species